rnacentral:lncRNA from 1 species
CUUCCCUGUACUUGCUUGCAGAAGGAGUUUCAUAAAAUGGGCUUUUAUUGAUGCACUUUUAUUGAUGCAGAUGCACUGCUGGAAGUUGAGUAAAAACUUAUGUUUUAUUUCAGGAAUCACACCUACAGGAUAGCAGGAUGUGUCCAGAAUGAGGAGAGCUGAACUUCAUCCUGCUUUAAAUUCAGACCACAGUAUCUACUGCUACUGUCAGUGAACUUGACUGUCUAGAAAGUUCUGCUAUGUGUGAUGUUUCAGUACAAUGUGAAGACAGAUAUUACACAAAACCUGUAUUUUCCGGACCAGAGAGAUCACUGAUACACUCAAAUGCAUCCUGAGGAAGAAGGACAUGUUUUGUAAAAAAGC